rnacentral:rRNA from 1 species
UAGAGUUUGAUCAUGGCUCAGGAUGAACGCUAGCGACAGGCUUAACACAUGCAAGUCGAGGGGCAGCGGGGAGGUAGCAAUACUUCCGCCGGCGACCGGCGCACGGGUGAGUAACACGUAUGCAACCUGCCCUCCACAGGGGGACAACCUUCCGAAAGGGAGGCUAAUCCCGCGUAAAUCUCGAUGGGGCAUCCCAUUGAGAGGAAAGCUUCGGCGGUGGAGGAUGGGCAUGCGGCGCAUUAGCUAGUCGGCGGGGUAACGGCCCACCGAGGCGACGAUGCGUAGGGGUUCUGAGAGGAAGGUCCCCCACACUGGUACUGAGACACGGACCAGACUCCUACGGGAGGCAGCAGUGAGGAAUAUUGGUCAAUGGGCGGGAGCCUGAACCAGCCAAGCCGCGUGAGGGAAUAAGGCCCUAUGGGUCGUAAACCUCUUUUGUCGGGGAACAAAAGCGGGGACGCGUCCCCGUCUGCGUGUACCCGAAGAAAAAGCAUCGGCUAACUCCGUGCCAGCAGCCGCGGUAAUACGGAGGAUGCGAGCGUUAUCCGGAUUUAUUGGGUUUAAAGGGUGCGUAGGCGGUAUGGUAAGUCAGCGGUAAAAGCCCGGGGCUCAACCCCGGCGAGCCGUUGAAACUGGCGUUCUUGAGUGGGCGAGAAGUAUGCGGAAUGCGUGGUGUAGCGGUGAAAUGCAUAGAUAUCACGCAGAACUCCGAUUGCGAAGGCAGCAUACCGGCGCCCUACUGACGCUGAGGCACGAAAGCGUGGGUAUCGAACAGGAUUAGAUACCCUGGUAGUCCACGCAGUAAACGAUGAAUGCUAACUGUCCGGUGCGAGUGAGCGCUGGGCGGUACAGCGAAAGCGUUAAGCAUUCCACCUGGGGAGUACGCCGGCAACGGUGAAACUCAAAGGAAUUGACGGGGGCCCGCACAAGCGGAGGAACAUGUGGUUUAAUUCGAUGAUACGCGAGGAACCUUACCCGGGCUCAAACGCAGGCUGACGGGUCCCGAAAGGGGCCUUUCUUCGGACAUUCUGCGAGGUGCUGCAUGGUUGUCGUCAGCUCGUGCCGUGAGGUGUCGGCUUAAGUGCCAUAACGAGCGCAACCCCUGUCCACAGUUGCCAGCAGGUAAAGCUGGGGACUCUGUGGAGACUGCCGGCGCAAGCUGCGAGGAAGGCGGGGAUGACGUCAAAUCAGCACGGCCCUUACGUCCGGGGCGACACACGUGUUACAAUGGCAGGUACAGCGGGAUGCCACGGGGCGACCCGGCGCUGAACCCGAAAACCUGUCUCAGUUCGGAUUGGAGUCUGCAACCCGACUCCAUGAAGCUGGAUUCGCUAGUAAUCGCGCAUCAGCCACGGCGCGGUGAAUACGUUCCCGGGCCUUGUACACACCGCCCGUCAAGCCAUGGAAGCCGGGGGUACCUGAAGUGCGUGACCGCGAGGAGCGCCCUAGGGUAAAACCGGUGACUGGGGCUAAGUCGUAACAAGGUAACCGUAA